rnacentral:rRNA from 1 species
GACGAACGCUGGCGGCGUGCUUAACACAUGCAAGUCGAACGGAAAGGCCCUGCUUUUGUGGGGUGCUCGAGUGGCGAACGGGUGAGUAACACGUGAGUAACCUGCCCUUGACUUUGGGAUAACUUCAGGAAACUGGGGCUAAUACCGGAUAGGAGCUCCUGCUGCAUGGUGGGGGUUGGAAAGUUUCGGCGGUUGGGGAUGGACUCGCGGCUUAUCAGCUUGUUGGUGGGGUAGUGGCUUACCAAGGCUUUGACGGGUAGCCGGCCUGAGAGGGUGACCGGCCACAUUGGGACGGAGAUACGGCACAGACUCCUACGGGAGGCAGCAGUGGGGAAUAGUGCACAAUGGGCGGAAGCCUGAUGCAGCAACGCCGCGUGCGGGAUGACGGCCUUCGGGUUGUAAACCGCUUUCGCCUGUGACGAAGCGUGAGUGACGGUAAUGGGUAAAGAAGCACCGGCUAACUACGUG